GACGAACGUUGGCGGCGUGCUUAAUACAUGCAAGUCAACUGAAGCAGUGGUAGCAAUAUCGCUGUGGAGGUGGCGCACGGGUGAGUAACACGUAGGUAAUCUGCCUUCAGGUCUGGCAUAACUCCGGGAAACCGGGGCUAAUAGCAGAUGAUGCAACGGCCCGACAUCGAGACAGUUGUUAAAGCUAUGGCGCCUGAAGAUGAGCCUGCGUCUGAUUAGCUAGUUGGCGGGGUAACGGCCCACCAAGGCAACGAUCAGUAGCUGGUCUGAGAGGAUGAUCAGCCACACUGGAACUGAGACAAGGUCCAGACUCCUACGGGAGGCAGCAGUAAGGAAUAUUGCUCAAUGGGAGAAAUCCUGAAGCAGCAACGCCGCGUGAGGGACGAAGGGCUUUUGCUUGUAAACCUCUGUAGUGAGAGAAAAAAAUCCCAAUCUUUGGGACAUGAUGGUAUCUCAAAAGUAAGCCCCGGCUAACUACGUG
rnacentral:rRNA from 1 species